AAGCAAAAAACUCAUGUUUGAAGCCCACAUGUAGUGGAAUACAAAUGUGCCGAGAUAAGGAUCUUUUCUGAAUCUCGCAAUUUUGGUGGCAUACCAUACAACAGCAUGUUUGUUAUUAUGGAUGUUCUUACUUCAGUUUAGAAGGCAACCCAGCUAAGAGAUAGAGUUUCAGAUACAUGAAGUGUGUGAAGUGAAUAACCUGCCAUGUGUAUGCACAUGUACCGGAUCUGCUUGAUGAAAGUCAAAUGCCAUACUAAAUUCAUCACCCAUAUGAUAAAGCAUCAGGAAAUUUAUCUCAACAUGUGGAGUAAUGCUGUUGGUUGCAGUGAAUUC